CCCCACUCGUCAAAGACCCAGCCAAAAUUCCUCAUUCUAUUUCACCCGCGAAGAGCCACCGCCCCCGCCGCAUAUCUCUUAUGCCCGAUUCAACCGGCUCUCUUCUCCCCAAGAUUACUGCACCGAUUGGAACGACUGGCGGCGGCAGAUCGGGGGAGGUCGCCCUACAGGCCGAGCUCGGAUCCACACAAACAUCCUGCCCUGAGAGGAUCCGGCCCUCUUCUCCCCCCAAUUGCAGCGACCAGGGACGCCAUCUUGAAGGAGGCCUCCCCGCCGCCGAGCUUGGAUCCACCGCAUCAACCCGCCCAGCGAGCACCCUGAUGUCUUUUCCCCAGCGCCUGGCGACGUCUCUCGCUACCCAUGAUGUUAAGCGUCUGAAGCCCACAAGCAUUUUCAGUAUGCCUGGAACUUUGAUAAAAGCAGAUACAUUCUCCAGGAAGGGGCUUUGAGAGAUGAAGAGGAAGCCACCCUUUCUAUGUCCUACAUUACACGGAUACUUCAAAAAGUGCGCGUAUCCUGCCGGAUACUACCCCGAUACUCGGAUACUGCCCCGAUACUGCCCGAUACGUAUCCCGUAAGUAUCCUGUGAUUUAUAGAUUUUAAAAAAGAAAAUAGUGUUUGAUAUGUCUGGGAUACCUCUGGGAUACGUUUUGGAUACGGCAACCCAUUUGUUCGACGUGUAAAACUGAAAACUCCUCGAUCCCCUCCUAGCGCCGCCGCACGUCAUCCUCGUCCCCUCGAUUGAAAACUGGCCACCUCGUCCCCUCGACUCUUUGGAGCAGGCGAGCAGCCACAGCCCACAGGUCUCCAACUCUCCAUAAAUCUCAGCUCCAGUCCUCUCCUCUCCCACAUGUUCUUCUCCAACUCUCCAUCCAAUCAACGCUGAUCGGUCGCCGGCUCGUCGCCGGCAGAAGACAUUCGUGUCUCCCUUGCAGGAGAUCGGCCAUGUCUAUUAGGUCUUCUUCAGUUAGAAGUGACGCAUGUAGUGGAGGUAGCAUGGCUGCAGUCCAUGUAUUGGUUGUUGCUCGUGUGAUUUUGGAAGAUGAUAAUGAGAAGAAGCCUUUGUGGAGGUACCUAAAGGUUGUACCAUGCCAAAAAAGAAAACGCAAAACUGAGAAGUUGUCGAGCAUCACCAAAAGACUGGAUCUAGGUCUUAUGUUUCCACUUUCAGUAAAAUUAAAAAAGCAAGUAUAAUAAUCAGGACCCAAGUCCCAUUGAGUAUUUCAAAGAGACCCAUACGAACAGCAAGACUGGCAGCAUGAGCGAGCCGGCACAUCUAGCCUAUAAUGCGACUGAAAAGAAAAGGGAAACACAAUCAGAAGGUGAGCAACCAGUGUCUGAUUCAAUGAUUGUGGCUGAAGUUCUAAAGGAAGAAAGCACCCAGAGCACCUUCCUUUCCAGCAUGAGUUAUGCAUCAAGAUCCGAGAGAUCUAGGAGCUUUACUUCAUCAGCAUAGAUCUGAGUUCUAGAAUAAAGAAUUGAACAAAAGGAUGGCGAUGCGAGAGAUGCAAGGGACAGGCACCGAUAGGAGUUAGUGGUGAGACUUGAAGCACAAGAGAGAGCAUUUGAAGAGACGUAGAGGAAGCAACACGAAGAAUUCAAAGAUGUGAAGAAGAUCCAGCAAGAGAAGAAUGAAGCCUGGCAAAAGAAGCAACAAGAGACGGAUAACCUGAUUGGUUUUCUCUUAAGUGCUCAAGCAACUCAGAAGUCCCAAUCCAAACCUAAUGGUGCAUGAAGGCCAUCCUUUUGCGAUGGAAAGAUAGUUGUUGAAUCAUAUAUUGCAAUCAUCAGGAUAACACAUGUAGUCUUUACUUAUCUAAAUAUUGGUUUUCAACUUGUCUAUUGUUGUCUCAAACUCGUGAGCUAGUGUUAUUUUUACUAUCAUUUAUGUUGAUAGGACGA